GCAUCGGUGGUUUAGUGGUAAAAUUAGCCGUUGCCAUGCUUCACAGCACAGUUUCGGCUAGCCCCGGGUUCGAUUCCCGGCCGAUGCA